UGGUUAACAUGGUGACCGGUAACUGACAGCUCCUCCCCCUUUUUCAGUUACCGUCUUCAACUGUGGACUCAAGAUUAAGUUCAGCUAGAGAGCAGACAGCAAUUAAUCUUCCCUCAAUAACCAGACUGCAGCUUACAUCUUUUUGUGCAAGCUGAUCCCUCCCAGCGUGUUCAGAGUGAAAGGAGGCGUUGGGAGCGGUCAAAAUGAAGUCAUCACUCUGGGAGAGACAGCUGUUCCACGGGAUAUGAGCAGACCAGAACAAGAGCGGCCCGUUCUGUCAUAAAGCUCUGCCCUUAAGGGCGGCACCCAGCAGCCCACCAAUCGCUGCUCCGUGUCGGGACAUGACCCUUUUGACAGCGCGCUCUGAGAAAGCGGCUGUGCCUUUCAGGAGGACAUGACCAUUAAUAAACUGGAGUCAGCAGUGGGUGGCAAAGGCAGGAAAAAAAUAACAGGUGUCAAUCUUUAUUAAAUGCGAUCUGCCACCUUUCAAAUUUCUAAAUUACUCCCCAAUUAAGAAGAAAAAUGAAGGUGAGGAUGCUCCCUGAAUUUGACAUCCUAAUUAAUUACUUCCUUUGUGUGAAGAAUUGACUUUUACUCCAUGUCACCUUGGAAUCCUGAAGCUCAUUUCGAAAUGGAAAUUCACCCUCAGAGCUAAAAUAAAACUUUUCAAUGAGACAGAAACACUGACAACUUCUAAUUUGGUGAGGUAAUGAUUCCACUAGCAUUUGCUCUCUUAUUCAGUAUAAUAUCCCAAUCGCUAAAACUAUUCCUAAAUUACAUCAUUAAAUAACAGACAACACACUGGUUCUCAAUUCAACUUCAACAUCCACAAUGGCAGAACUCGCCAAGAACUUAAUUGGCUUUACUGCGAGUUUUAUUAUCAAAUCAGUUGUGGUGAAUUAAA